UGGGUCGAUGUCCGAGUGGUUAAUGGGAACGGACUGUAAAUUCGUUGACGAAAUGUCUACGCUGGUUCAAAUCCAGCUCGGCCCAA
rnacentral:tRNA from 1 species